UAGCUCAGAUGGUAAAGAAUCUGCCUGCAAUGCAGGAGACCCAGGUUCAAUUCCUGG
rnacentral:tRNA from 1 species